rnacentral:rRNA from 1 species
UACGAAGGGGGCUAGCGUUGUUCGGAAUUAUUGGGCGUAAAGCGCGCGCAGGCGGUCCUUUAAGUCUGAUGUGAAAGCCCACGGCUCAACCGUGGAGGGUCAUUGGAAACUGGGGGACUUGAGUGCAGAAGAGGAAAGCGGAAUUCCACGUGUAGCGGUGAAAUGCGUAGAGAUGUGGAGGAACACCAGUGGCGAAGGCGGCUUUCUGGUCUGUAACUGACGCUGAGGCGCGAAAGCGUGGGGAGCAAACAGG